rnacentral:rRNA from 1 species
AUGUCGAGAGCUGGUCGCGGGAGGGGCGCCCGCCAUGACGAUGAGACGGGGAGCUCCUCCCUCCGCCCCUCGGUGGAGGAGUGGUGCAAAGUGCAGGCGCGGGAGUGCGGCGCGCUCACUCGUAGCGGUGGCCGGCGGGCAUGGCGCAACUUUAACCGCCUCCAUGAGAUUUUCUGGCCGACGACCAAGCAUGUUCAAGCGGCGGAGCACGCAUUCUUCGCAAGAAAGGAGGCGUCCGCCGCCAGAGAAAAAGGUGCCGUGGCACGGCCAGAUGCGGCGAGGAAGGAGUACGACCUCGCCUUCGUCCUCGCUAACUCCUUGAUGGAGUACCAUCUUGGCGUCAAGAAGGACGGUGAUGAUGAUGAGUAUAUUUAG